UGGACUCAGAACGACGCUGGCGGCAUGCCUAACACAUGCAAGUCGAACGAGACCUUCGGUCUAGUGCGCACGGGUGCGUAACGCGUGGGAACCUGCCUUUAGGUUCGGAAUAACUCAGAGAAAUUUGAGCUAAUACCGGAUAAUGUCUUCGGACCAAAGAUUUAUCGCCUUUAGAUGGGCCCGCGUUGGAUUAGCUAGUUGGUGGGGUAAAGGCCUACCAAGGCGACGAUCCAUAGCUGGUCUGAGAGGAUGAUCAGCCACACUGGGACUGAGACACGGCCCAGACUCCUACGGGAGGCAGCAGUGGGGAAUAUUGGACAAUGGGCGAAAGCCUGAUCCAGCAAUGCCGCGUGAGUGAUGAAGGCCUUAGGGUUGUAAAGCUCUUUUACCCGAGAUGAUAAUGACAGUAUCGGGAGAAUAAGCUCCGGCUAACUCCGUG
rnacentral:rRNA from 1 species